rnacentral:rRNA from 1 species
UUGAAAAGUUAGGGGAUGACUUGUGGCUGGGGGUGAAAGGCCAAUCAAACCGGGAGAUAGCUGGUUCUCCCCGAAAUCUAUUUAGGUAGAGCCUCGGACGAAUUCCAUUGGGGGUAGAGCACUGUUAAGGCUAGGGGGUCAUCCCGACUUACCAACCCUUUGCAAACUCCGAAUACCAAUGAGAACUAUCCGGGAGACACACGGCGGGUGCUAACGUCCGUCGUGAAGAGGGAAACAACCCAGACCGCCAGCUAAGGUCCCAAAAUAUUGCUAAGUGGGAAACGAUGUGGGAAGGCAUAGACAGCUAGGAGGUUGGCUUAGAAGCAGCCAUCCUUUAAAGAAAGCGUAAUAGCU